rnacentral:rRNA from 1 species
GAUGAAGCUUUUAGCUUGCUAGAAGUGGAUUAGUGGCGCACGGGUGAGUAAGGUAUAGUUAAUCUGCCCUACACAAGAGGACAACAGUUGGAAACGACUGCUAAUACUCUAUACUCCUGCUUAACACAAGUUGAGUAGGGAAAGUUUUUCGGUGUAGGAUGAGACUAUAUAGUAUCAGCUAGUUGGUAAGGUAAUGGCUUACCAAGGCUAUGACGCUUAACUGGUCUGAGAGGAUGAUCAGUCACACUGGAACUGAGACACGGUCCAGACUCCUACGGGAGGCAGCAGUAGGGAAUAUUGCGCAAUGGGGGAAACCCUGACGCAGCAACGCCGCGUGGAGGAUGACACUUUUCGGAGCGUAAACUCCUUUUCUUAGGGAAGAAUUCUGACGGUACCUAAGGAAUAAGCACCGGCUAACUCCGUGCCAGCAGCCGCGGUAAUACGGAGGGUGCAAGCGUUACUCGGAAUCACUGGGCGUAAAGGGCGCGUAGGCGGAUUAUCAAGUCUCUUGUGAAAUCUAAUGGCUUAACCAUUAAACUGCUUGGGAAACUGAUAGUCUAGAGUGAGGGAGAGGCAGAUGGAAUUGGUGGUGUAGGGGUAAAAUCCGUAGAUAUCACCAAGAAUACCCAUUGCGAAGGCGAUCUGCUGGAACUCAACUGACGCUAAGGCGCGAAAGCGUGGGGAGCAAACAGGAUUAGAUACCCUGGUAGUCCACGCCCUAAACGAUGUACACUAGUUGUUGGGGUGCUAGUCAUCUCAGUAAUGCAGCUAACGCAUUAAGUGUACCGCCUGGGGAGUACGGUCGCAAGAUUAAAACUCAAAGGAAUAGACGGGGACCCGCACAAGCGGUGGAGCAUGUGGUUUAAUUCGAAGAUACGCGAAGAACCUUACCUGGGCUUGAUAUCCUAAGAACCUUUUAGAGAUAAGAGGGUGCUAGCUUGCUAGAACUUAGAGACAGGUGCUGCACGGCUGUCGUCAGCUCGUGUCGUGAGAUGUUGGGUUAAGUCCCGCAACGAGCGCAACCCACGUAUUUAGUUGCUAACGGUUCGGCCGAGCACUCUAAAUAGACUGCCUUCGUAAGGAGGAGGAAGGUGUGGACGACGUCAAGUCAUCAUGGCCCUUAUGCCCAGGGCGACACACGUGCUACAAUGGCAUAUACAAUGAGACGCAAUACCGCGAGGUGGAGCAAAUCUAUAAAAUAUGUCCCAGUUCGGAUUGUUCUCUGCAACUCGAGAGCAUGAAGCCGGAAUCGCUAGUAAUCGUAGAUCAGCCAUGCUACGGUGAAUACGUUCCCGGGUCUUGUACUCACCGCCCGUCACACCAUGGGAGUUGAUUUCACUCGAAGCCGGAAUACUAAACUAGUUACCGUCCACAGUGGAAUCAGCGACUGGGG